GUGAAAAAACCAUUCAAAUUAUAUAAUUGAUUUAUUUUAAUUCAUAGUUAUUACAUCAAUAACUUUUGAAAAAGGUCUAUGACCUCGAUCAUUAUUUCAUUAUCAUGCAGCAUCAAGAUUUUUUGUCUUAGCAGCUGCAUUUACCUAUGUACGAAUUGUAUUUGACUAGAAUGUUCUUUGGUAACAUUAAUCACUACAUGAGUGUGAUUUAAAACCUUGGCUAAAAUAUGUCCAUUUAAUGGUUUAUUAGGACAACGGAUUGGUCCCAAUUGUGGAACCAGAGAUCUUGCUGGAUGGAGAACAUGGUAUUGAUAGAACUUAUGAAGUAGCACAAAAGGUUUGGGCUGAGGUUUUCUUCUACCUUGCUGAGAACAAUGUCCAAUUUGAGGGUAUUCUCCUCAAGCCUAGCAUGGUUACCCCAGGAGCUGAGUCCAAGGACAAGGCCUCUCCUGCAACAGUUGCUGACUAUACCCUCAAGCUCCUUCACAGGAGAAUUCCCCCUGCUGUCCCUGGUAUCAUGGUAUGUGACACUAACCAAAUACAUAACAUUAUUCUUUCUUUGUAUUUCAAAUUUCACUCUUUGUUUGUUCACGUUCUUACUAAAGUUGUAUUCUGCUAUGUAUAGUUUUUGUCUGGUGGACAAUCUGAGGUUGAAGCAACCCUCAACUUGAAUGCCAUGAACCAAUCUCCAAACCCAUGGCACGUGUCGUUCUCAUACGCAAGAGCUCUCCAAAAUACCGCAUUGAAGACAUGGGGAGGCCGCGUAGAGAACGUGAAGGCAGCUCAAGAAGCGCUUCUUUUCCGCGCCAAGUCCAACUCAAUUGCUCAACUUGGAAAGUACACUGGUGAGGGUGAAUCCGAGGAAGCCAAGAAGGAAUUGUUCGUCAAAGGCUACUCUUACUAAAAAUGUUGGUAGUGAAUAUGAUGAUAUAUGUUAUGUUAGACAGCAGCACUAGCAGUUAAUGAUGGUGUUGACGGAGGAUGAAUAUUAUUCUGUAAGACUAAUUAUUCAAAAAUGUGUAAUAUUUUAUAGUCUUGGAGACUAUUUUUGAUUUUUUGUUUUGUUUUAUUACAUGCACCUUUACGACUUCAAUAAAAUCUUUUGCUAUGAGUUUGUACUUAAUCAUGUCUCAACAUACACCCAAUUAAAAGGAGAGACAAAAACUCAUAGCCAUUUACUCGAAAUUGUCCUCAUAGAUGAUGAUACAUGGAAGGAAUGUAGCAGCAUGAUCUAAUUUUUUCCUGCUGAACUUAGUCCUACACAUGUUACAUAAUCUGAACUAGAUACUAAAUUAGCAAACUCAUAUAAAAAUAAAACAAUAAAAAGACAUUGGUAUCAUAGUUCUCUUGAAAGUGCUCCAUUCCUUUGAUUAAUCUAGAUAAAACAAAACAAAUAAAAUUGAAAGACAAUGUCAUUUCUGAAAUACACAAAGCAAAAUUACUGAACAUAAAAACAACAACAACCAAACAAUAGCAGAAAAUUACUGAACAUAAAAACAACAACAACCAAACAAUAGCAGAAAAUUACUGAACAUAAAAACAACAACAACCAAACAAUAGCAGAAAAUGAAGACAAAUCAACUCAUAACAUGCCAUCUGAUUUUGCAGGCAUCCUCCUGAGGAAAUUUUGUGGAAAUGCAGGCAUAUCGAAGCGAAGCCUUGGAGGUCUUAACACAUAAGUGACUGAAAUGAAGAGUAUAUAUCGAAAAGGAAUGAAAUAAGUCAAAAUGGCAGCAAUCAAACAGAAAAUUAGGAACAAAGCCUUUGCUCUUGGAUCCCUCCAGCUGAUAAGAGAUUGCACCCUCUCUCCUUGAGUUGCCAAAUCACCCAUCACAACAAGCACUCUCCCUGAAAUGCCUCUCAAUCUAUCAUACCUUUUCUGCAGAUUACCACCGCUAAAUUUAGUUGGAAAAGGAUCAAACUCUUCUUCAAGUUCUUCAGUAGUAGCUGUAUCAGCAUGAGACAAUUUAAUAUCCAUGAGAAGGAUAUCUUGGCCUUAUUCGGUAUUGCCAAAUCCCAUUGAGGAGUAAGAAGGUAAAUGUUAGCGGCAAAAUAGCUCCCGGCUUGUAAUUGAAAAAGCAAAAGAUUGAAUAACCACCUAUCGUUGUAACUGAAUUCUUCCAACUGUGAAUUUCCUCAAUUAGUUUAACAAUUGAAACAAAACCUCUGAGAAGACUUGUGAUCCUGUAAAACUGAGCUCUCCCUCUCCUCAUGCUCCACACAUUUGCCCUCAUAUCUAGCAUGAACUCAACAACCUCUUUACUUAGAGGCGGUUCGGCCCUUCUGAACCUCAAUAUGGUGAUUGCAGCAGCUUGGUUUCGCAGACUGUCGAUCUGAAACAUCGACAAUGGACAUAUGUAGUGCAUUUUUGGGAGCAGAGGUUGAGCAUAAGUUUGCAAAACAUUCAACAGUGAAGGACAAGAGAAUCUCACUGCCAAUUGAAUUUCUCCCAUUUUCUUUGCUCCUUGAGUAUGCAAGUUUAUAAGUGGAUAAGAAUGAGUAUAAAUCCUAUCACUUUCGAGUGUUGAAAGCCUAAUCCUUACCUUGCCAAUUCUCUUAUCAACUCCUCCAUCACCAUUUUUCCCUCCAACAUUAUUCUUACCUCCUCCAUGUAAGUGUCCAUUAUCAAACACCACAAUUGUGAUAACUGUGCAAGGAUCAUAAACUUCCCAAGUAUAUUGCUCAUUCCACCUUGGUGAAAGACUAUCAACAAUAGUCCUUGUUCUCACCCAUUUAGAACCAUACUUAGCUACACAAUAUGCGUCGGUUCGAUCCUUCUUCAUCGGGGAGAGUCCCACAGCAUUCAAGAUUCCCAAUUCCAAAACACCAAUACUUGGUUUGUUCAAAUACUUAGAUGACGGUCUUAGAUCACUACUAUAGUGAGUGGCCUCAUCAAGAACAUGGUACCCUCCAUCCAAAGAGAUUCUCAAAUGCAAUCUAGUACUAAAUUUAACCUCUUCUUUACCUUCAAGUUCUUUAGGCUUUUGAAGAUUGUACCAAACACUAGCUGUUGGAGUUGCAUCUAUCCUUCUCUCUACAUCUUUAAGAUGAAUCACACAACUUCCCAAAUUUUCAUGCUUGCUAGAAUUCCCUUGCCCCUGUUCAACGCUCAAAAGCAAGGACUCGUCGAAAGGUUCUGCUGCAACAAACAUCAAAUCCUCAUUCCAUACAGGGUUUGGAUUAAUCUUCAUCGGACGACUUCUCAAAGAUAAGUUCCCUAGAACACCUUGGAUAAAGAUCUCGUUGUUGCCUUUGAGCAACAAAUCUUGGGCUUGAAUCACAUUAACUCUAAGAUACCAAAGUCUAGGAGAAAUAUACACUUUUGAACGAGUGUAAGUGAUGUUUUCAACACUAGUAGUUGUUGCGUCUGAAUGCCAAGCAUCGGGAAAACUUUCAUCAGCUUGAGUUCCCAUCCAAACAGACACCAUUAACUCUCCUUGAUCAAGCUUCACCAUAUUUUGACCCUCAAGCUUAUACCAUUGUGGUGCUAAAGGACUAUCAGGAGGAACCCUCAUAGGAAUAUCAGAAAUUGUGAAUGCUACUCGACCAAUGACAUCAGGGUGAUCAGCAACGGGAUCUUUUUCCUUCACAACAAUCUCCAAAACUUGUUCUUGAAUCCUCUCUUUAGAAAAAGCAAAAACUUGGUUCCACUCAGGGUUUGAGAUUUUCUCAAAGACCCUUGUUGUCCCUACGAAACUUCCAAGUUUAACUUCCACAAAAGGGUUGCAAGUAUCAGACUUACCGGUUUCUGGCAAGUCUUUGGCUCUCACUACCCUUGCAAAAAGAAACUUCAUUUGUUCAACAAGAUCAAAUGUUAUUGGAAGCCUAUCACCACUUAUCACUCUUCCAGCAUUGAUGUUUGGUGUUGUCUCCUUUAAAUCAAAAUCUUCCUUUGGCUUCCUUUGGUUUUGAUUGUGAUUUUGGUUUGCCAUGGCGUACUCUACAAAAACAAGAGUGAACACAAAGUGUAAGCCUAAGUGCAAAGUCAAAUCAUCAUAGACAUCUAUAUCUAUAACAAUAUGUAAUGGCAAUAUGCACACAACAAAUGCGAUUAAAUAGAUAUACAACUAAACACAAUUGAAAUGCGACAGACAUGUAGAUAUAAGCUUGCGCAUUGCGCUAAUAUCUUGAAUAUUUAGUUUGUGAAAACGUUAAAAGAAUAAAUAACUUCUGAUUAUUCAUGGAGUAAAGUUCUUCCCAAUAUAUGAAAUUGAAGAUAACAAUAUGAAAUAUAGGUUGAUAUUAAUAAAAGUCUACAAGUAAGUUCAAACUCACAUAGUGAGAGGUGAGGAAUGUUAAAAAAAUUCUUAAAUAGAAAAUAAUAGAGUUAAGGAUUGAGGUUGUUGACAUGUCAUUCCGACAUUUUACACAUUAGAUUUAAUAAACCAAAUCCAUUUUAUCAACCUAUUUUCACAUCUCUACGUAUAUGUGCUGGAGUAAAAGAUGAGUUAUUUUGUUGAGAAUAUAAAGCAUAAUCAAUCAAUUCUCUCCUAACUUUCAAGAGCAAAUGCAUAAAUGAAAAUACAAAGAUAUAUAUGGUGUGUUCUGCAAAGCAGAAUCAUCCCAUCUCUAUUGAUAAAGUAAAAUAAUAUAUUUGCAAAUAAAAUCAAUGAAUCUGAGAUAAGAAUGCUAACAUAUUCGAUGCUAACACAAAAUAAUGACCUAAAGGCCAAAAGAUACAUUAUGAAUCAAAUAUCAAAACUGACAUCAUAGAGCAUAAAGACCUAAUCAUAUACUAUAGGAUUCUAUCAUUCUAAAAUCACUUCAUAAACAAUGAUUUUACAAUUAUAGACAACAUUUCAUGCUCUAUAUUUGCGUUAAGAGGGUUAUAAUCGUAUUCGCAUGUAUAAUGCAAAAAUGAAAAACAUGAGGAUAGACAAAAGUUAAUAAUAAGGAAGAGAAAGUAAAAUUCAUACCACUAAAAAUCAAAGCUUCGCGUGUAACCGAAAGUGAAACAAUAUUGCUUGCUAACUUCUUGAUAUUGAAGGUGUUAUGUGACUGUAGAAAAACAAACUUUAGAAGCAUUAGCAUUUGAAAAACAAACUAAGAACAAAUAUUUUGAUGAAAAAUGAGAGUUAGUUAUCAAAUAUUUUGGUAGAAGUACACAGACUAAGAACUAAUUACCAGACAAAUGGAGCCACCUUCGAAAAUUGCUAACAAUGUCUUUUGGAAUGUUUUUUCUUUUUUGAAACUUUGAAAGAGUGAGAGUGUACAUGCGGUUUAAAAAUGAGAAUGUUAACUGCUUUUUUGAGUUGAUACACAAAGAUAACAACUACUUAAUGAAUCGGUUAUCAUAUUAUUUUUGUGAUAAAUGCACAUUCAAUUAGAUUGAAUUGUUAUAAUGUGUGAGGAUAUGUAUAAUUUGCAUGAUUAUUGUCAGAAAAAAAUGUAUAAUUUGCAGAAGUAUCGGUCGGUUCAUCUAAGUCAGAAGUAGAAAAACAAUAAAAAAUCAAAAGAUCCACAAUCACAUAAAGUCGGCUACUAAAACUAUAGCCAUAACUUAAUUAUUCAUAUACUCCAUUUGGACGGACAUACAUAUAUAUAUAUAUAUAUAUAUAUAUAUAUAUAUAUAUAUAUAUAUAUAUACACACACAUGUAUUCUAACCUACAUUUUUCCUAUGUGUCACCUUACCAAUGCCCCCCUUUCUAACUAUCUCUUUAUAUGCAUUCUCUCUCAUUCUAAACUACACUUUACUUAUGUGUCACCUCACCAAUAAUUCUUAUUUCUUAUAUGAAUUUUAUUAUAUGAAUGAAUGCAUUCUCCUAUGGCAGAUUUAAUUGUCACAACUACAGGAAUUUUUUUUAUUACUCAUCUCCAUGAAUUGUAUGUAACUGCCAAAAAAUUAUGGAAGGAUUUUGUGCGCUAACUUUUGUUUUCUCUAAAAAUAUCAUUUGGUUUUCAAAGUUCAUACAAUGAAAGGGUUAUAAUAUCUAGUGUGACAUAAAUAUUUUUAAACAUGUAACUGCCACAAUCCUUCAGAACAACAUAUAUGUAUGCAAUUUCUCAACAAAAAAAAACAUAUAUGUAACUGCUAAAUGCAAGCACGAGUUAUUGGCCAAAUGAAUUGUGAUUCACUGAUUCGUGACUCCCAUGAAUUUAUUGUGGCAAUCUCUGUGCAACUCCCAUUUACCAAAAAUCAUUUGCUAAUUUUUUAAUUAAUAAUUACCAAAACUUGAAUGAUUAUGGUGUAGUAAUGGUCAGUUACACAUCUUACUUAUUACCUUUAUUAUAAGCGGCUGACAAUUAUAUGGGUAACUCCUUUUUACCAAAAUUAUGUACCUUUAUUUCUUAUUGUAACUCCUUAUAGGUUACGGUUUUAAUAUACCAUGCCACACAAAAGUAAUGGUCACAAUAAUCAAGGUUCACAAUUUUUUUAUUUCUAUCACCGAGAAUGCAAUAUAAAUAUAAAUAAAUAAACCAACCAAUUAGAAUUUUUUUGGUCAAACAGUUAGUUAAUUUUUUUAUUCCUAUGAGAAUGUGAGAUUUAUGCUCUUACACAUGAGAAUAAAAUAAAAUGAAGAAAUUAUUUGUAAAUAUCAUUCCUUAAGGUUUGUCAACUAAAUAAGAUUGUAAAACAUUACGACGUAAUUUAAUUGAUGUAAUCAUCCUCUCACUUGAUAAAAAAAGAUAUUAAGAUUAAAGUGACUCAAGGAAAUUUCUUCACUGCCCUUAAGGUUCCCCGAUAUUAAGGUUGUCGAAACACAUUUUAACAUAGUCAAUAGGAGGGAGGGAACACGAAGGGAAAUUAAGGUUCUAGAGGUUUUUGGUGAGAGAUUUUAAUUAGGGACACAUCAUCGACAUUUUGGAUAGUUAGGAAUCAUCCGGUAAAGGAUUCUGGCUUCUUCAUUUUAUUUUUUCAUUUUUUUAAUUCAAUAAUUUAAAAUGUGCCAUUUUUAUUUUUUUUUAAAUUGUUAAUUACACACGUGGCAUGCCAAAUAAACGUUGAUUUGGUCAAAAUUGACCAAAAGGUUCAAAGGGGCUAAAUCUUAAGGGGUUAAAAUUGGAGUUUUUGUAUAUAGAGGGUCAAAAUUGCAACUUUUUAAAAGUUAAGGGGAGAAAGUGCAUUUUAUCCUUAUUUUUUAGAGUGGAAAUUAUUGAUGAUUGAGAAAAGUAGAAAAAGUAGAUAUUAAGGUUCGAUCAUCUUGCCUUGGGGCUAAUUUUAUGUAACAUUUUUGUAUAUUGAUGCUCGAAAAAUAGUUAUUUGUUUCUUAAUACAUAUAGAGUGCAAUUAUAUAUUGUCGCAACAAGUAAUAAAGAGUAAGUAGAGUAUCGAUCCCAUGAGGAUUGCCGUAGAUAAGUUCUAUGUAUUUUCAAAUGUUAAGUUUAGUUGUUUAAGAUUCAAAAAGACUAAUAACAAAGACAAGGUUUUAAGAUACUAAAGUCGUAAAAUGCGGAACUAAAUAAAGCAUGUAAAAAGGUUUUAGAGAUUCAAAUGAAAAAGUGUGGUUAAGGAAUUAACUUGACAAAGAUAAAGGUUUGCAAGAUUUAAAAAACUACAAUUCUGAGAUGGAAGCUAUAGCUUCGUACAACUUUUGGAGGAAUAAUGUAGAAAGCUAUAGUUUCACAUAGUUUCCUGGCAACCUGGUGGUCACUGGGAGUGUUGUGCACUUAGCCGUCACGUUAAGCACGUGAAAAUGUAUGGUCGGAGUACAAUCACAUAAUCCUAACAUGCAACAUUGCUAGGUUAGGUCAUAAACAUUUACCACCGAAGUGUUAUUUUGCCGAGCCUUUGGCCUAUGACAAGAAUCUUAAUUAGAUCUCAGCGCUUAAAAGGCUCCUCUAAGACCUUGCACUCGUGCAAAUUAGUCUCUCUUGUUCCUUUCACCUCUCGAUGCGUAGGGACUAACUCAUAUCAAACAAACAUGUUCCAUUCUGAUACCUUCUCAGUCUCGUGGAACUAUAACAUUGAAAGCAAAAGAGACCGAGUUUUACUUUCAAAGAUUUUGAGUUAAAACUGUUUGUUUGAAAGAAGCUUUGAAGGUUGUAACAAACUAAACUUGCAAACAUAAUUAAUUAUCUAACAAACAUAAUUAUUAUCUAAUCAUUCCCUAACCACAAAAAGUGGUUAGUGCAAUGAACAUAAACACAAAAAUUGAAAUGGAGGAAGAUAAGAGAUAAAAACAAAAUUGCAUAAAUCAUUAGAUAAGAUUAGAGUUUACAAAAGAGAAAUUACAAUCCUUUGAGAAUGAAGGUGGGUUCUUUGCAGACCUCCCUUAACAAAUUACUCUAAUGACUCUAAAACUUUAAGACUCUAACUACUAUGCUUCGAAAAUGAAAUGGAUGAAGGUAUGAGAUGAAAAAGAAUGAUUUGAAUCUCUAGAGAUGAAGGUAUGUUACCAUUAUAAAAAGUCAUUUUUAUCUUUUUAUAGUCAUUUUAUUUCCAUUCUAAUCCCAUCCACAGUGAAAAAUAAUUGUCUAAAUAAAGAAUUCUUCAAUUGUUUCAUACCUUAAAGAAUAUUGACCAGUUAUUUUUAGGGAAACUUUUUUUUAAAAUUAGGUCACUUAUUAUUUAUUAGUACAAUAAAAAUUAAUUAAUUUUUUAAUGAGUCUAUGGGCCAGCCCGCCAUUGACCGCUUUUUCAACAUACCAUAUGGGACAGACCAACUAUGGGUGUGGGCUCAAAACCUCAGCUGAGUCCAACCAAAAUGACGAAUUAAACGGAUCGAUCUCACGGGUCAAACCCGUUUUGUCACCCUUAUAGUUCGACCCCAAGCAAAUUCCAGUUUUCAAUUUAAAUCCGAGUUUUUUUUUUCUAUACACUCUUGAGAUAUUAACUUGAUUAUAAUUGUUAUAUGAGUGUUAUAUGAUUUUUGCCCCUGGAAAAGAAAAUGAGAACUUUUUAAUUGUCAAAAUCAAUUUAUCACACAUUUAUGAUCAAUUUUGAGCCCUCAAAACACGAGUACACCCAAUUGAAUAACACUUUUAUAGGUUUGUAAAAAGUGAUAAAUUGCUUGCAGAUAUUCUCAUCAGGCCAUUUUCUCUGAAUGUUGACACUAUUUCAAGGGUGCAGUGUUGCUUGUUCGUUGCUUCAUUGCAGGUUUUGAUCGAGUUCAUUUGUUUGAGGUAAAUGCCAACUUGUUUUUCUAUUUUUGUAGGUUACUUUGCUUGGUAGAAGAGACUUUAGCCUUUAUGAUAUGUGGUGCCAAAAUUACAAACAAACAAAAGAAGGAUAAAAAAAACAAAAAUAAUGAUGGUUGUGCACACAGUUCAAAAUAAAAAGUUACUAAAAAAAUCUAUAUAUUUUGUGAAUCAUGUUUAGGGCUUGAUAAAUGGUUAACAUUGGUAUUUUGGAUUGCAACUAUUAUUGAAAAAAAUUAUAAAUCACCAUACUAGUUAGGUUAUAUCUUUAUGCUUUUCUGUUAAUAACUUAUUCCUUAUUGAUAAUGAACUUAACACUGUUGUAUACCAGUAAAGUACCAGGGGAAUAUUCUAGGUUCUUUUUUACAGUACCAAGCAACACAUUCUAUUCUACAAGAUGUAGAAAAUUUUUGGUCUCAACAACUACAAGAUCAGCAUAUUCUGCCUUAACAUUUAGCAGAGGGAAUUGAUGCAUUAAAAAUCUAUGUUUAGACUUUAGACAUGGCAUGCUUUGAGUCUUUGAUGACCUCUUUACCCCAAUCUCACCAAAUCCUGGUAUUAAAUCAGGACCAUAUAUCUUUGAGAAAGAGACAAACCAAUUAAUCAGCAAAGAAAAUUAUGACCUCACACUUAUUUUUCCUACAAACAAACAACUAUAAUUGUUACCCUUUUUGGUGCAUGUUAUACACUUGUACUACUAGUAACACAAGGAGAAAAAUAUAUAAAUCUUCAAAUUAUAGUUCAUUUUUUAAACGGUUAGAAAAACACCAUCCAUUUAAACCAGCAAUGCAGAAUACCAAACAAGAAGGAGUUAUCAUCCACAUGUCAAGUGAUGAUAGGUUAGCUCAUAGCAGCCUCAAAUGAGACAUCACUUCCCAAUAAUAAAUAGUUAAGUACACUACAGAAAAAGAAGUGCAUAAGUUGUGUGGUAAAGAGGUUCAUUGUUUGAGGGAUAAGAUUGCAGUUUCUUGUUAGACAGUAAACAAUGGCAUCUGCAUCAGCAUCUCUCUUCAAGUCAUCAAUUGUUCUUGACAAGUCUGAAUGGGUGAAGGGCCAAACCCUCCGUCAAUCUUCGGUGGCCGCUGUACGAUGCAACCCCGCCGCUCCAUCAAGUCUCACUAUCAGAGCUGGUUCCUAUGCCAAUGAGCUCGUUAAGACCGCGGUAUGAUACUUAACUUAAAAAACUUACCAAUUAGUAUAGCUGAACUUAGUUCUUUAAACAAAUAUGCUUGAAGUUAAAUAUUCAUAUCUAUAAGCAAGUUUGAAUUCUUUUUUUGCAUAGUGGUAUUCUAGUUUUCAAAGUAGCAUGUUGGUUAAACCAUGUAUAAUAUUAAUGAACUUCAAUUAUUAUUGUCCAUGUUUAUCUACUUAGAGCAUUUUCAGUAGUGUCUUGUUGAGCUCUAGAAGUUAGGAACAGGUUCUUAUUUGGCUUUACCACUAGAGAUGGUUGAAUUUCAUGUGGUUAUCACAUUCAACAACUUUAGUGACUUAAAAUGAAAAAGUAGACUUAAGAAAGUAGGAGAAGGAAAACAAGUUGAAAGUGAGAUAAGGUGAGAUACAUGUUACAUAGUUGGAAUAAAAAAUUGUUGAAAUUCUUAAAACUGAUGUGGCAUGGAAAGGGACAUUAAAAAUGGAUGAAGCUAUUAUGAUUCUAUUCAAUGUUGGACAAGUUGUAACUUCUAAGUGAUGAUGAUAUUCCACUUUCGCAUUGUUUAUGCAGUGUUGUAUGCAUCAUUAUAUUUUUUCUAGAAUGUAUGGGAUUUUUGUUGAGAAUUUGUAGAUGCCCUAAGUAACGAUAUUCCGAUUUUACAUUGUUGAUAAAAUAUUGUAUGUUUCAUUGUAAUAAUCUAUUGAGUCUUAUUUUUUGUUGCUUGUGUGUGGAUGCAGAAAACAAUUGCUUCACCAGGACGUGGUAUUUUGGCCAUGGAUGAGUCCAAUGCUACUUGUGGGAAAAGUUUGGCUUCAAUUGGGCUAGAGAACACCGAAGUUAACCGCCCAGCAUGGCGUACUCUUCUGGUGACAGUUCCAUCUCUUGGAGAGUACAUCUCUGGUGCCAUUCUCUUUGAGGAGACUCUCUACCAAUCCACAACAGAUGGAAGGAAGAUUGUGGAUGUACUUAUUGAGUAAAACAUUGUUCCUGAUAUUAAAGUUGACAAGGUAUAUCUGGAAUUACUCUAUGUAACUACAUUUUUUGUUAGAUGAUGAAUUUUCAAUUUGUACUAUGCUGAACAAAUAAUGCAAAGAAUAAGACCGAGUGCUAGUUGAUACCAUUAUGAUGUCUGUUUAUUUCUACUAUCAUUCAUACUUACGUGUCUACUUAUGUUUAUGUUCUGUGACUAUGAACAAUAGGGUUUGGUGCCCCUUGCUGGUUCCAAUGAUGAGAUGGUGCCAAGGUCUAGACGGUCUUGCCUCUCGUUCAGCUGCAUACUACCAGCAAGAUGCUCAUUUCGCCAAAUGGUUAGUGUCUACUUGACCCCCUUUGGAAGCAAAAUCAAAAUUUCAUGCACUUAUUUGUCUUUUUUUACUGUCAGUAUUUCUUGUCAUGCUCAUUUUUUUAACUAUUCAAAUUUCAAUCACAUAUUAGGCGUACUGUUUUGAGCAUCCCCAAUGGUCCCUCUGCUCUUGCAGUCAAGGAAGCAGCCUGGGGUCUGGCUCGCUACGCUGCAAUUAGUCAGGUGAGAAAACCACUCAAAUUAUACAAGUGAUUUCUUUUAAUUCAUACUUAUUACAUCUGUUGAAUAUUAGCACAGAAUCAAUCAGAUUUUGUGCUGUUUGACUUAUUAUAACUGGUUGUAAAUACUAAUUAAUUGUAAUUAGCUGUAUUAGAAUUAGAAUUUAAAGGGAGAAUAAGUAGCAUUUAUAGACGGAAUAAUUUGUUUUAUUUUCUGGCUAGACUAGCACUCUGCCUACAGUCCCUUGUAUUCUAUAAAUACCUCCUAUGUACUGUUUUAUAUAUCAAUGAAAUAUAGAGCAUAUUUCCAUAUGGUAUCAGUGGCAGCAAGAAAUCCAUAGGGUUUAUUUUGCUUCCGUAUUUUUUUUAUCCAUCCCACAUAAUGUCUGAUUCCAUGUCUGAUAGUGAGUCCCAGCAUUCACCCAAACCUGAAUCACCCCAACCUGUCAAGACAUACCAUGAAAACCAUCCUGUUCAGAUCACAACAAUUCGGCUAAACGGUGCUAAUUACUUUCGUUGGUCACAGUCUGUUCGGUUGUAUAUCAGGGGGAGAGGAAAGAUUGGCUAUAUCACUGGCGACAAGAAACAACCAGACAAGGUAGGCGCAGAUUAUGAUACAUGGGAUGCUGAAAAUUCCAUGGUCAUGACAUGGUUAGUCAAUUCUAUGACUGAAGAGAUAGGUGCGAACUAUCUCUGUUAUGCUACCGCAAAAGAUCUUUGGGAGAAUGUCUCUCAAAUGUACUCUGAUUUGGGAAACCAGUCCCAAAUUUACGAAUUAACUCUCCAGCUUGGAGAAAUUCGGCAAGCUGAAGAUUCAGUCACCAAAUACUUCAGUUGUCUCAAACGUAUUUGGCAAGAUUUGGAUCUCUUCAAUGAAUAUGAGUGGAAGUCACCUGAGGACUGCAAGCACUACCAGAAGAUGGUGGAUGUUAGCCGUGUCUUCAAAUUUCUUGCAGGUUUAAAUGUUGAGUUUGAUGAGGUUCGUGGUCGAAUUCUUGGUAGGAAUCCUAUCCCUCCAAUUGGUGAAGUCUUUGCGGAAGUGCGUCGCGAAGAGAGUCGUAGGCAAGUGAUGCUCGGAAAGAAGAAAGCUGCUGUCCCGCCACCAGUUGAAGGAUCUGCCUUGGCCGUUCCUCAAGUCAAUCACAAAUCUUUCUGUAACCCACGAGGUGGUGACAAGACUCAUUUAGUUUGCGACUACUGUGGCCGCAAUCGUCACACCCAAGAAACUUGUUUCAAACUACAUGGUAGGCCAAACAAUAGCAAGGCUGGUAAGUUUGGUGACCGACCUAUGCCUACAACCAGCAAUGCUGCUUCAUCUCCAUUUACUAAGGAGCAGAUGGAUCACCUUCUUAAGCUUCUAAAGUUCAAUUCAUCCCCUAAUACUCCUGUUGGUACUGUGGCACAAACAGGUAAGGAUUCUUGGGCACUAUCUGUCCAAAACCACUCCAACCCCUGGAUAAUAGAUUCAGGGGCAUCUGAACACAUGACUAAUUGCUCUCAUCUAUUCAGUUCAUAUUUUCCUAGUUCAGGUUCUGAAAAAGUUAAGAUAGCUGAUGGUAGUUAUUCCAGUAUUGCAGGCAAAGGCAACAUAAAAAUUUCAGAGCAAAUCACUUUGCAAUCUGUUUUACAUGUUCCCAAAUUUGCUUGUAAUCUUCUAUCUGUUCAUAAACUGUCUGAGGACUCUAAUUGUUCUGUUCUUUUUCGUCGUUCUACUUGUGUUUUUCAGGACCAGAACUCGGGGAAGACGAUUGGAACUGCUAGAGAGAUUAAUGGACUGUACUACUUUGAUGAAACCCCUCUUGGCAAUACAGCAAUGUUUGGUUCAAGCCGUACGAGUCCACCUCUUGUUUCAAAUAAAAUCAUGUUAUGGCAUAAAAGAUUAGGUCAUCCUAGUUUUUCUUAUCUUAAGCAUUUGUUUCCUGAAUUUUCCAAAGAAAUAAGUUCUUCACAAUUUCAUUGUGAUGCUUGUCAUUUAACUAAAGAUCAUCGUGUGUCUUUUAAUUCAAGAGGUUAUUCUGCUUCCAAACCUUUUUAUCUAAUUCAUAGUGAUGUUUGGGGUCCUUCAAAAAUUAAAACUUUAUCUAGAAAAAAAUGGUUUGUGACAUUUAUUGACGAUCACACACGGGUUUGUUGGGUUUACCUCAUGGAAAAGAAAUCAGAAGUUGAACAAAGGUUUCAAGAUUUUUUUAACAUGAUUAAAAAUCAAUUUUAUACCACGAUUGGCAUUCUAAGGUCUGACAAUGGCACUGAAUACUUCAACAAAUAUUUAAGUACAUUCCUAGUAACUAAUGGGAUAAUUCAUCAAUCCACUUGUCGUGAUACUCCACAACAAAAUGGUAUUGCUGAAAGAAAAAAUAGACAUCUCCUAGAAGUUACUAGAGCUAUUAUGUUUUAUAUGAAUGUACCUAAGUAUCUUUGGGGUAAUGCUUUAUUAACUGCUUGUCACCUCAUCAAUCGAAUGCCAUCCCGUGUGUUACAAUAUGAGACUCCCGUGCAGGUUUUACAAAAUAAUUUUCCCACUUCUCGCAUUAUUACAAAUCUUCCCCUUAAAGUUUUUGGUUGUCUCUGUUAUGUUUACAUCCCAAAUAUUUUUCGUUCCAAGUUGGAUCCUAAAGCUGAAAAAUGUGUCUUUCUUGGCUAUGCUUCCAAUAAAAAGGGAUACAAAUGUUUUAACCCAGUUACAAAGAAAUUUUUUGAAAGCAUGGAUGUCCACUUUGUUGAAGAUCAACCUUUUUUUAGAGAAAAUUCUCUUCAGGGGGAGAGUCAGAGUAGUAAUGAGGAAGAUAAUUUUUGGGAAAUUUUACCUGUUCUUGAUGAUAUUGUAACAAAUGAUCAUCUAGAUGCUAAGAUAACAGAACCUAGAAAUCCUAACCUUGAAUUGCUAGAACAUAUGGUAUUUGAAACAGGGGGAGAAGAGGGAGAAACGCUGAUUAAGAAUCCUGAACUUAGAGUGUAUGUUCGGAAAAAAUUUAUAAAGAUGGUACAGAUCCCAUUGUCUUUCCAGCAGAAGUUCAAUCAGAUUCUCCAAGUGAAGGUCCUACUGAUAAUCCAUCUUCUAGUUCCUCCGGUAAUUCUUCUCACUCAUCCAAUGAUUUACCUGAUUUGUCUUUUCCUGAUAUUAAUCUUCCGAUUGCUGUGAGAAAAAAUAUCCCUGACCUCAAUAUUCCUAUUGCUGAAAGAAAACGUACCCGUACAUGCACUAAACACCCCAUGUCUAAUUACUUGUCGUAUGACAAGUUAUCCCACAGUCACAAAGCAUAUGUGUCUAGGAUUUCUAAUUUGUUUGUGCCCAGAACUAUUCAGGAAGCAUUAGGUGAUCCGAAUUGGAAAUUAGCAGUGAAAGAAGAGAUGAAUGCUUUGAACAAAAAUAACACUUGGUGUAUCACUGAUCUACCUUAUGACAAAAAGGCAGUAGGAUGUAAGUGGGUCUUUACAGUGAAGUGCAAGGCUGAUGGAAGUGUGGAAAGAUACAAAGCAAGAUUAGUAGCAAAAGGAUUCACUCAAACUCAUGGUAUAGAUUAUCAGGAGACUUUUGCCCCGGUUGCUAAGAUCAAUUCCAUCAGAAUUCUUCUCUCUCUUGCAGUAAAUUUCAACUGGACCCUACAUCAAUAUGAUGUUAAAAACGCCUUCUUGAAUGGAGAAUUACAUGAAGAAGUAUAUAUGAGCUUACCUCCGGGAUUUGAAGAUAAGCUUGGAAGAGGUAAAGUUUGCAGAUUGAAGAAAUCCUUGUAUGGAUUAAAACAAUCGUCAAGGGCCUGGUUUGAGAGAUUUGGAAGUGUUGUCAAGGGACAUGGCUUCACUCAAAGUCAAGCUGAUCACACUAUGUUCUUCAAACACUCACGUGAAGGUAAGAUUGCCAUCUUAAUAGUGUAUGUUGAUGACAUUAUUAUGACAGGAGAUGAUAUUGGAGAGAUUAGUGAUCUAAAGAGAAGACUUGAGGCUAAGUUUGACAUCAAGGAUCUUGGAAAAUUAAAAUACUUUCUCGGUAUGGAGUUUGCAAGAUCGAAAGAAGGAAUUUUCCUCAACCAGCGGAAGUAUAUACUUGAUUUACUCACAGAGACAGGGAUGACGGGGUGUAAGGCAGCAGAAACACCAAUGGAUCCCAAUGUGAAACUAAAAUCAGUUGCUGAAGAUGAAAUAAUAGAUAGAGAAUGCUAUCAACGGUUGGCUGGUAGGCUAAUUUAUUUGUCACAUACAAGGCCUGAUAUAGCAUUUGCUGUGAGCGUAAUAAGCCAAUUUAUGCAUGCACCAGGGCCAGCUCACUUUGAAGCUGUUUUCUGAAUAUUGAGAUAUUUAAAGGGAACUCCAGGAAAAGGGUUAAUGUUCAGAAACAGAGGGCAUAUACAGGUUGAAGCCUAUACAGAUGCUGACUGGGCAGGUAAUAUAAAUGAUCGGAGGUCUACAUCCGGAUAUUGUACCUUUGUAGGUGGAAACUUAGUUACAUGGAGGAGCAAAAAACAAAAUGUUGUAGCUAGGAGCAGUGCAGAGGCUGAAUUCCGAUCGGUGGCUCAUGGUUUUUGUGAAGUACUAUGGAUCAAAAAAUUCAUGCAAGAAUUGAAGAUUGCAGGCCCAACUCCAAUGAAAGUUUAUUGCGAUAAUAAGGCAGCUAUUUCUAUUGCUCAUAACCCUGUUCUACAUGAUAGAACGAAACAUGUUGAAGUGGACAAGCACUUUAUUAAAGAAAAAAUUGACAGUGGUGAGAUUUGUAUGUCCUAUAUACCUACCAAAAGUCAAGUAGCAGAUGUCCUCACAAAGAGCCUACCUAAGAGACAGUUCGAUGACAUGGUGUGCAAGCUUGCUAUGAAUGACAUAUUCAUGCCAGCUUGAGGGGGAGUGUUGAAUAUUAGCACAGAAUCAAUCAGAUUUUGUGCUGUUUGACUUAUUAUAACUGGUUGUAAAUACUAAUUAAUUGUAAUUAGCUGUAUUAGAAUUAGAAUUUAAAGGGAGAAUAAGUAGCAUUUAUAGACAGAAUAAUUUGUUUUAUUUUCUGGCUAGACUAGCACUCUGCCUACAGUCCCUUGUAUUCUAUAAAUACCUCCUAUGUACUGUUUUAUAUAUCAAUGAAAUAUAGAGCAUAUUUCCAUAACAUCAAUAAUUUUAUCAAGGCAUUAAAAAAGUUGUGUGACCCGACCCUAACCGCAACAUCAAGGUUUUUUAUGUCUUGGCAACUGCAGUUACAUAAUAUUAUAAGUUGUAUUUGACUAAAAUUUUCUAUAAUAACAAUGACUGCUACAUGAGCGUGAUUUAAAACCUUGGCUAAAAUUUGUUCAUUUGAUGGUUUAUUAGGACAACGGAUUGGUCCCAAUUGUGGAACCAGAGAUCUUGCUUGAUGGAGAACAUAGUAUUGACAGAACUUUUGAAGUAGCACAAAAGGUUUGGGCUGAGGUUUUCUUCUACCUUGCUGAGAACAAUGUCCAAUUUGAGGGCAUUCUCCUCAAGCCUAGCAUGGUUACCCCAGGAGCUGAGUCCAAGGACAAGGUCUCUUCUGCAACAGUUGCUGACUAUAUCCUCAAGCUCCUUCACAGGAGAAUCCCCCCAGCCGUCCCUGGUAUCAUGGUAUGUGAAACUAACCAAAUACAAUUUUCUUUGUAUUCCAAACUUUUAUCUUUGUUCAUACAAUAUGAAGCAACGACACAGGUACAGACACCAGGCACGAUACUAACACGUUCAUAUGCUGACCAAAGUUGUAUAUUGUAUUUUGUUAU
rnacentral:lncRNA from 1 species